GGCGAACGCUGGCGGCACGCCUCAUACAUGCAAGUCGAGCGAUCGGAGGCUGGGUGCUUGCACCCGGCCUUACGGAGCGGCGAACGGGUGAGUAACACGUGGGCAACCUACCUCGCGGACGGGGAUAACACCGGGAAACUGGUGCUAAUACCCGAUAACCCGGUUGGAUCGCAUGGUCCGACCGGUAAAUGGUUCUUCCGCCACGAGAGGGGCCCGCGGCCUAUCAGCUUGUUGGUGGGGUAACGGCCUACCAAGGCGAUGACGGGUAGCCGGCCUGAGAGGGUGUUCGGCCACACCGGGACUGAGACACGGCCCGGACUCCUACGGGAGGCAGCAGUAGGGAAUCUUGCACAAUGGGCGCAAGCCUGAUGCAGCGAUGCCGCGUGAGGGAUGAAGGCCUUCGGGUUGUAAACCUCUUUCGACAGGGAAGAAGCCACCUCUCAAGGUGGUGACGGUACCUGUAGAAGAAGCCCCGGCUAACUACGUGCCAGCAGCCGCGGUAAACGUAGGGGGCAAGCGUUGCCCGG
rnacentral:rRNA from 1 species